rnacentral:tRNA from 1 species
GGGGAAUUGGCUCAGUGGUAGAGCACUUGCCUAGCAAGUGCAAGGUCCUGGGUUCGGUCCCCAGCUCCA